CCCCUUUCCUUGAGAAAGAACAACAAAGCUGGUGGCAUCACACGUCCUGAUUUCAAACUACAGUACAAAACUAUAGUAAUCAAAAUAGUAUGGUAUUGGC